rnacentral:sRNA from 6 species
AAAAGAACUUUGGAGAGAGAGUUAAAGAGACCGCGAAACCGUUAGGAGGGAAACGCAUGCAGCCGAACAGGCCCUCGUCGGGUUCAGGGGGUCUCGGGGUUCCGGUCGAGGCGGGCGUCACCCAGUCGGGGUCGUCGACUCGGACGGUUCCCCUUGCCCCUGCACUCCCGGCGGUGUGGGCCGGCCAAGGGCGGUGGUGUCCGCGGCGAAGAGGACGGUCGGGCAGGUGGUGCAGCCGGCCCUCGGGUCGGAGGCGAGCUUACAGCCGUCCGUUCGGCAGGUCGCGGGUCCACCGAGGAGAGCGGUGGCUCGUUUCACCCCGGCAGCGCAGGCCCCCGCCUUCGGGCGGGGCCGGAGCGCUUCUGUCCGUUCAGCCUCCGCGGCGAGGGACUGCUCGCAGUGCCCGACGCGCGUGCGCGAGUCCGGACGGGAGGCCGUCUCACGCCUUGCGCUGCGGCGGCUUGGCCAGCCGUCGGCUUCAUUCGACCCGUCUUG